rnacentral:rRNA from 1 species
CCUACGGGAGGCAGCAGUGAGGAAUAUUGGUCAAUGGGCGAGAGCCUGAACCAGCCAAGUCGCGUGAGGGAAGACGGUCCUAUGGAUUGUAAACCUCUUUUGCCGGGGAGCAAAACGCGGUACGUGUACCGCAUCGAGAGUACCCGGAGAAAAAGCAUCGGCUAACUCCGUGCCAGCAGCCGCGGUAAUACGGAGGAUGCGAGCGUUAUCCGGAGUUAUUGGGUUUAAAGGGUGCGCAGGCGGCGAGUUAAGUCAGCGGUAAAAUUUCGGGGCUCAACCCCGACGAGCCGUUGAAACUGGCGUGCUAGAGUGGGCGAGAAGUAUGCGGAAUGCGUGGUGUAGCGGUGAAAUGCAUAGAUAUCACGCAGAACUCCGAUUGCGAAGGCAGCAUACCGGCGCCCAACUGACGCUCAGGCACGAAAGCGUGGGUAUCGAACAGGAUUAGAUACCCCAGUAGUC